CGACUAUGAUAGUUGGGAUGACAGUAGUUCCUUAAGCAGUGAGAUCAGCGAUGUGUUUGAUCCAGAUGACAUAACCGGCUCAUCCAUCACCCCAUUUAUCAACAAGCCAUCUGUCAUCCGUAAGAACCCCCUAAUAGAGCUGCAGAGAGA